rnacentral:rRNA from 1 species
UGAGUAUCCUGCCCUUAACUCUGGGAUAAGCCUGGGAAACUGGGUCUAAUACCGGAUAUGACUCCUCAUCGCAUGGGUGGGGGGUGGAAAGCUUUAUUGUGGUUUUGGAUGGACUCGCGGCCUAUCAGCUUGUUGGUGAGGUAAUGGCUCACCAAGGCGACGACGGGUAGCCGGCCUGAGAGGGUGACCGGCCACACUGGGACUGGGACACGGCCCAGACCUCCGUACGGGAGCAG